rnacentral:rRNA from 1 species
CCUACGGGAGGCAGCAGUAGGGAAUCUUCCACAAUGGGCGAAAGCCUGAUGGAGCAACGCCGCGUGGGUGAAGAAGGUCUUCGGAUCGUAAAACCCUGUUGUUAGAGAAGAAAGUGCGUGAGAGUAACUGUUCACGUUUCGACGGUAUCUAACCAGACAGCCACGGCUAACUACGUGCCAGCAGCCGCGGUAAUACGUAGGUGGCAAGCGUUAUCCGGAUUUAUUGGGCGUAAAGGGAACGCAGGCGGGCUUUUAAGUCUGAUGUGAAAGUCUCCGGCUUAACCGGAGUAGUGCAUUGGAAACUGGGAGAUUUGAGGGCAGAAGAGGAGAGUGGAACUCCAUGUGUAGCGGUGAAAUGCGUAGAUAUAUGGAAGAACACCAGUGGCGAAAGCGGCUCUCUGGUCUGUAACUGACGCUGAGGUUCGAAAGCGUGGGUAGCAAACAGGAUUAGAUACCCUUGUAGUC